rnacentral:rRNA from 1 species
AGGGUGUAAACGCUGCAGACUUGGUGUUGGAGGCCCUUUGGGGGCAUUCAGUGCCGGAGAGAAGUUGUUAAGUCUGCUACUUGGGGAGUACGUCCGCAAGGAUGAAACUUAAAGGAAUUGGCGGGGGAGCACCGCAAGGGGUGAAGCUUGCGGUUUGAUUGGAGUCAACGCCGGAAAUCUCACCGGGAGCGACAGCAGUGUGAUAGCCAGAUUAAAGGUCUUGCUAGACGAGCUGAGAGGAGGUGCAUGGCGUAGUCGUGU